GGCUCCUCCCCACGGGCCCCGGCGGGGCGGGAGGCGGGAAACGGCCGCCUUCACCCUGGCCUUCCCGGGAUCCCACAACCCCGCCGCAGCAGUCUGCUCCCCGCUCACCUGUCAAUCCUCCUUCAGAGCUGACGGUCCGGGGUGGCCCCGAAUCCUGGCUGCGCGUCUCAGGGAGCCAGCGCGUCUCAGGGAGACUCGCUUAGCCCCGCCGCGCAGAGGGAUGUGAACCUGUUUUGUACAAAUUGGUGGCUUGUUUGGGUUCUUCAGAAUUGUGGCUUCUGAUUCACUGGAGGUGGCUGUGCCCCUACCCCGCAACCCCCUGAAGUGGCUGGCAUUGGUGCAAAUGAGGCUGUUGAACCUGAUCGUGUUCUCUCUGGCCUUGGACCUGAGUGCUGCAGAGAGAGAGAGAGAGGGAGACUCUGAUGGCUCUGAAGAUCAUGGCCCUUCCCAUAUGAGGUUCUAGGCAGUAUUCCUGAGCCGGUCUCUUGCUCACUCCCCAGCCCUUUUGAAUACCCCUUUUCGGUAUGAAUUUGAUGAUCUAAUUUGACUAUCAUCUCUCAAAUGCUCAGGUGUGUUACAGUUUUACUCUUCACUGUAUCAGUUUGUCACACGGUUAAGAGAGCAGGAUCUACCCUUCACUCGGGGUCAUUCUCUGCAUCCUAGCUGAUGUUCAGUGAAAGCUCCAAGGGUUUGUCAAUGUGGAAACUGGUUGGCAGUCAAUCGAUGGUCUCGCAGCCACAGUUAGAGAUGAGCUGCAUCUGGGUCUGCCCAUGUGCUUUUAGAAUAGGCUGAACUUUAUAACACAUUCAAUCUUUGGAAUAAACUGCCACCGUUUUAUUGUUAGUUGAACUAUAUACAAGGUUGCUGGGGUAGGAUAUUUCAGGGGCAGAGUGCUUGCCUAGCAUGCAUGAGACUGUAGGUGGACUCCAUCCCCAGGACCAAAAUAAUAAUUUUAUUCAUAGAGGAAGAUGUUUGCCUGGGUUCAAUGCCCAACAACUCCAGCUUUGGAGGAUCCAAAUGCUUCUGUCUUCUGAGGUCACUAGCAUGGACAUAGCCCCUACCACACAUGUACACACAAUUAAAAAACAAAGCAUAGGAUUUGGAGUAAAACAGACUUUGCUUUUAAAGCCCCAUAAUAAUAUUGCAAUGCUGUAGACAUGAACACUUUCUCAACAACCCCCAUACACAUAUACUGAAAGAGAAAUUAAAAUAUAACCCUGAGUGGGCCUUACAAGGAGAAGAUGAGUUAGUGCAUGAAAAACAGCAGUGUUUAGCAUGUGCUAAAUAAAGAAAGCUGUUAUAUAUUGCCAUGUGUAAUCUAAUCCAAAACAAUCCAUACAUGUGUGUAUCUGGAUUUGCCUUUAAAAAAAAAAUGUUCUAAUCACCACAGCG
ensembl:processed_transcript